UAAUACAGAGGGUGCAAGCGUUGUUCGGAAUUACUGGGCGUAAAGCGCGUGUAGGCUGCGAUGUAAGUCGGACGUGAAAGCCCUUGGCUUAACCAAGGAAGUGCAUCCGAUACUGUGUCGCUUGAGUACCGGAGGGGAUGGCGGAAUUCCCGGUGUAGAGGUGAAAUUCGUAGAUAUCGGGAGGAACACCUGUGGCGAAGGCGGCCAUCUGGACGGUAACUGACGCUGAGACGCGAAAGCGUGGGUAGCAAACAGGAUUAGAUACCCUGGUAGUCCACGCUGUAAACGAUGAGUGCUAGUCGUCAUGGGUAUUGACCCCUGUGGUGACGAAGUUAACACGUUAAGCACUCCGCCUGGGGAGUACGGUCGCAAGAUUA
rnacentral:rRNA from 1 species